UACGGAGGGUGCGAGCGUUGUCCGGAAUCACUGGGCGUAAAGCGCGUGUAGGCGGUUCGGUAAGUCUGCUGUGAAAGUCCAGGGCUCAACCCUGGGAUGCCGGUGGAUACUGUCGGACUAGAGUACGGAAGAGGCGAGUGGAAUUCCCGGUGUAGCGGUGAAAUGCGCAGAUAUCGGGAGGAACACCAAUUGCGAAGGCAGCUCGCUGGGACGUCACUGACGCUGAGACGCGAAAGCGUGGGAGCAACAGG
rnacentral:rRNA from 1 species